rnacentral:piRNA from 1 species
GCCCCUUCUACUUUUGAGCAUCGCCGUCU